rnacentral:rRNA from 1 species
UACGGAGGGUGCGAGCGUUGUCCGGAAUCACUGGGCGUAAAGGGUGCGUAGGCGGCGCGACAAGUUGGGUGUGAAAUCCCUCGGCUCAACCGAGGAACUGCGCCCAAAACUGUCGUGCUCGAGGGAGACAGAGGUGAGCGGAACUUAGGGUGGAGCGGUGAAAUGCGUUGAUAUCCUAAGGAACACCGGUGGCGAAAGCGGCUCACUGGGUCUCUUCUGACGCUGAGGCACGAAAGCUAGGGUAGCGAACGGG